CAGGAAGGCGGCGAUGCCCGCAGAAAGGUGCGUGGUGGCCUCCUGAGAACUUGCUGGCUGAGAGAAGCACGGAUAUGAGCGGCGGAGACCUGCAAGGGACAGAACAACAGCCACUCAGACACCAUCCUGGGAAGCAAAACGCCCUUUGAGAUGUGGGCUUCUCCUACCUCCUUCUGCGUAGCCAGGGCUGUCUUCCCAGGGAAGUUCUUGCUGCAGCCAAUGGACAGGGGCAAGUGCCGAUUUUUGACAGGUUCGUCAUCAAUUCCUCUGCACAAGUCAUAGAGCCAGGACCUGAAAGCCAGAGGAAGCACGAGGUAAAGGCAGCCAACGGAAAAUGUAACCAUGGAGCAGGGCAGAGGAGCUGGUGGCAGGCAAAACGUUGUCUUGGUGAGGGCGUCAGGGAGAGGGCAAGCCCAGAAGCCUGUUUGUGGGCCUGCUGCACCACUGCUUCUGCCCCCUCAAAGAUCUCACUGCAUUUUUGCCUCCCAAGCUUCCGAACCACUCCAGAACAGCCUACAGUCAGAAGGAAGUCUCGGUUCCUGCCAAGAGCCAAACGGCAGCAAGCGGUAGCUCCUUACCCUGUCUUGUCUCCGAAGUGAGUCUGGAGCUCCGUCUCGCUGAACUGCGCCACCUCCCCGAUGUACUCCACUUCCAGGAUGUCCAUGAUGGCAGCACCGAGCUUGCCCCCCAGGUUACGGCUACAGCAGAGACAAGAAAAGGAAAUGAAACACCGUGGGGACGACUACAGUGAGCCUUCGUGCAGCAAAAGCUGCUCCUGUGCAGGGCAACCAGAAGCAGUCAGAAGUUUGGAGGGCAAAAGCGAACACUUGGUACAAGUCUUCUGCUUACAAUAGAGGGAUGCGUAAGAGCUGAAAUGGGAAUGGCUCCUUGGCUCACCCAGUUUCAGCGCCUCUCUCAGAUCCAUCUUUGGAAGAUGAUCCCAAACUAUGUCCUGAAGAACACCUCACAGGCUCCCUGCUUCCUUUCUACAUGGACGGGACCCUUCCCCCCAACACUUUUCCAUCACUAAUGACACACCGAAGGCAGAAAGCCACUGCACGCCUGGACACCGGUGACAUUCCUCCAGAGCAGUGGGGCUGGUGACACUUCCCCACACAAGGAACAGCACUGGUGUGUGCAGAAUAAAACCAGAACUGCUUUCUGGGACCAUGGCUCUGUCACUCGCACCGGGGCACAGCUCUGGUCCCCUUGCCCAGGGCUGCUGCUGCCUUACACCUGUGCAUCCCAGCAGUCGUUUUGGGGACAGCUCUUCCCAGGGAAAGGCUGCCCAGAAGAUGCUGCUGAGCUCUUCAGGUGUGGUUCCUUCACUGGCAGGGCUUCGACUCCCCAGCGUGAUCCUCUUGAACUGCCACGCACAGCUGUGAGGGAUUCCUAGCAGGAUUUCCUCUCCCUCUUACACACGCUGGUGAGUGGUUACUGUGGAUGAAAGCCUUUGCUGGCUGAUAUAAAUUGAGAUGAAAUUGCUCUCUGUUGAGGUAGCCAGGAACCGUUUACUACCCCCAAGUCACUUUGGUUCUCCUUACGCAAGCAACAACAAAACCCACAGACACGUACCCCAGCAAUGAAGACAAUCAGGGCCCUCUUCCUGAGGAAAGCCCAGAUUGUGGGAGCACAGCACCGGCAUUUCAAGCACACGCUCUCACCACAGACCAGCUCAGCCCAAGCCUCAAGCUGCAGGCAGCUCCCCAGCACUUACAUGUUGCUGACGGGCAUCUGGCUGAAGAGCUGCGGGACAGAUCGUGAAGGUACCAGUGUCUGGCGGUUGGGCUUGUUUAACCCACAGGCCAGUUUUGCCAGCAUCUGUAACGUGGAGGAGUGGAAAGCCUGUUAUUACAAGCCAGCAUUAUUGCAAAGCACCGUACUUAACGGCACGUGCUGCAGCAGCUGCUAGGAAGGACGCAGCAUAAUGCUGCAGAAGAAAAUCUGCAAAACACAGAAGCUCUUGGAAGGGAUGUCCUCUCACCCACCUGCUGUACAACUUCCCCUCCCACCCUAAUCUAACUCAAGAUCAAGAAUACAGAGACUAGCCAGAAAUAAGCAUAGCUUGUUUUUUAAUUAAAAAAAACAAUGAUUUUUCCUCUUUCA